GGGGGCGAUCGGCUUCGACUGGAUGACUGUAAGUUGAGGUGGCGUGUCGUGGUUGAUCAGUUGGCCACGUAAAAAACUGAUCAAACAACAAUUGCCAAACCUUCUUUGGCUCUGGCUGCAUAACAUGCAGUCACCAGCUUUCGGAAUCCCCGCCUGAGGAGUCUGACAAGCUGGUCACAAAAUUAGGCUGGCUUCCAUUCACCGCCCGCUACGGUGGAAGCGAGAAACGUUGUGGGCUGGCUGAGUGAGGCUUUGUUUGUUGAGCCAAGCUCAGUGAGAUCAAUCAAUAGACUACACACGUAGAGGCUUCAGCCGAGGCGUCACAGGACGCGGGUUCGAUUCCCGCCGCCUCCACUA
rnacentral:tmRNA from 1 species